UAUAAUUCUAUUUCAAAUAUGCAAAGGGUGAAAAAUAUGACUAAAAUUUAAAAAAUAUUAAACGGAAAAUUUAAUUAAAUAAAAAGUUAGACACAAGGGGUGCUAACCCAAACAAGAUAAACAAUGUCUUAAUCGACACUCACCACAAUACAGAAAGAAAUUUGCAAAAUCACCUAUGCUAAAGCCAAAAUAACAGCCAAUAUAAUAAAAAGUUAGGAGACCAAUUACAAUAUAAGAUACUGCUAAAAGUUACUAACAACAAACACAGGAACAAACAUGAUUCCACCAAGAGCAAAUGUUUAUGCUAUGAUCAUUUUUCUUUUUAUAUUUUUUGUUGCAAUGUUGGUUAAAGUGAGUCAUUCUCAUUGUGUCAUUGAUGCUCAUUGUCCACGCAAUAUGUGCGGAUUUCAUUUUCCACCAAGGUGUGUAGAAGGUGAUUGUGUGUGUUAGAAUGAUUUCAUAUAUAUUACAAGAGUACAAGACCCAAAAGAGUAUACAAAUGCUCUCCUGGAUUAUUCAAUGAGCUUUCAUUUACUUAUUGUGUUGUCAUGCAAUAAUUUGAUUUUAUUUUUUUUUAGUUUUUCUAACUACACGGUUGUCGUCACCACGACUUUGAACUCUAAUAUAAAGUUAAUGAAAUGAAAUAAGAUAUUAAAGAUUAUUGUAUUCUUCAGAUAUAUCACUAUGACCUUUAAUUCAAAGAUAUUGUAUUUUUCUCUCUUAACUUCUCUUUCUUCAUGGAGUUUAUUAUGUCUUUAAAUGGGCCCUCGCAAGUAUACAUUGAGAUCAGAUUCUUCAUAUUAUUUAAUUUUUGAGGAUAUCAAGUUUUCAAAAAAAAAAAAAAAGAUUUUGUUACACUUUUGGUUUUUCUCAUACUCCAACCUGUAACUAUCCUAAAUUUUAAUUUUUUAAACAAUCUCAAAUGAUUUAUCCAUCAAUGCAUCAAAACCAUCCAAUUCAAAUGCAGUCACAUCUUUGAGUUAAGAUAAUCUCCAUUUUCUCCAUUACUAUAUAGUUUUGAAAACAUAAAUGCAAAAAUGUGACAUUAAAUAAAUCCAAAUCUCUUUAUACACCAAAAAAAAAA